rnacentral:rRNA from 1 species
AUACGGAAGGUCCGGGCGUUAUCCGGAUUUAUUGGGUUUAAAGGGAGCGCAGGCGGAGAUGCAAGCGUGACGUCAAAUUUCGGGGCUCAACCCCGUCUCGCGUCGCGAACUGCGUCCCUUGGUUGCGGGAAGGGGAGGCGGAACUCGUGGUGUAGCGGUGAAAUGCAUAGAUAUCACGAAGAACUCCGAUCGCGAAGGCAGCCUUCCGGCCCGUCAACGACGCUCAUGCUCGAAGGUGCGGGUAUCAAACAGGAUUAGAUUCCCUGGUAGUCCGCACAGUAAACGAUGGACACCCGCGGUUUGGCCUGUAUGGCUGAGCCGCCAAGCGAAAGCGUUAAGUGUCCCACCUGGGGAGUACGCCGGCAACGGUGAAACUCAAAGGAAUUGACGGGG